rnacentral:rRNA from 1 species
CCUACGGGUGGCAGCAGUGGGGAAUAUUGGACAAUGGGGGGAACCCUGAUCCAGCCAUGCCGCGUGUGUGAAGAAGGCCCUCGGGUUGUAAAGCACUUUCAGUGAGGAAGAACGCCUGGUGGUUAAUACCCAUCAGGAAAGACAUCACUCACAGAAGAAGCACCGGCUAACUCCGUGCCAGCAGCCGCGGUAAUACGGAGGGUGCGAGCGUUAAUCGGAAUUACUGGGCGUAAAGCGCGCGUAGGUGGCUUGAUAAGCCGGUUGUGAAAGCCCUGGGCUCAACCUGGGAACGGCAUCCGGAACUGUCAAGCUAGAGUGCAGGAGAGGAAGGUAGAAUUCCCGGUGUAGCGGUGAAAUGCGUAGAGAUCGGGAGGAAUACCAGUGGCGAAGGCGGCCUUCUGGACUGACACUGACACUGAGGUGCGAAAGCGUGGGUAGCAAACAGGAUUAGAUACCCGAGUAGUC